CAAUAGAGGCGCGGAUUUUAUAAGUAACUGCUGGGAGAUAACGGGUAUCAGUGAACAGCAGCGAAAGGAGAAUCCGCCGAAACCGGCAGUUCCCGAAAACUGCUGUAGUUGGGGUACAGUCGAACAGGCUGUGCACUCUCACCGAAAGGUGGAGGAGCUAU
rnacentral:ncRNA from 1 species